AGAAGUCCACUGAACCUUAUCAUUCAGAGGAAGGAGAAGUCAUAACAAGGUUUUCAUAGGUGAACCUACGGAAGGAUCAUUGUCAAAAAUUGCUAAGAAGAGCGACCUAUGAACUUGUUGAAAUAAAUCAUCAGGGGUGCAGCGCCUAAUGUGGUUCAGUAACCUCAACUGCCAACCGAGCCCACACCUUAUAGUUUGCUCCAGGAGCAGCGAUGGGCUUUGCGAGUUAGGCUUGGCACAAGAACGAACCCCGACGUGGAUCGCACCAAGGAACAAUAACAUAGCAUGCGUUGCCUUGCCGCCAAAUGCCCUGUGAGUGAGGUAGUGACCUAUUGUAUCUAAACGACUCUCGGCAAUGGAUAUCUCGGCUCUUACAUUGACAAAGAAUGUACAGAAAUGUGAUACUUAGUGUGUAUUGUGGAAUCCCAUGAACCAUCGAGUCUUUGAACGCAAGUUGCGCCCAAAGCAUCUUGGCUAGGGAAUGUUUUCCUUUUGCAUCACAGAUAGCGUCACCCCCAACCAAGCCAUUGUGUCUCUGCAUGCUAGGAUUGGGCGGAGAGUUUCCUCCCAAGCGUUUUUGUGCGGCUGGCCUAAAAUUGGAGGGCAGUGACUGUGCCACAACGUUUGGUGGUCGACAAGGUGAAGGCCAAGGUUGCAUCGUGUUGCGCUCAGCACGUCACCUAUGAAGUUUGCAUGACUUCGCCGCGUCGUCCGUAUGACACCAACACAACUACCCCAAGUCAGGCGGGGCUACCUGCUAAGUUUAAGCAUAUCAAUAAGUGAAGAAAAAGAAACUUACAAGAAUUCCUCUAGUAAUGGCGACUGAACUAGCAAGUGCCUAGCUUUAGAAUCAGGCGGCUUUGUCGUCUGAAUUGUAGUCUGGAGAAGCG
rnacentral:rRNA from 1 species